GGGGAAUCUUGCGCAAUGGGCGAAAGCCUGACGCAGCGAUGCCGCGUGCGGGAUGAAGGCCUUCGGGUUGUAAACCGCUUUCAGCAGGGACGAAAUUGACGGUACCUGCAGAAGAAGCCCCGGCCAACUACGUGCCAGCAGCCGCGGUAAUACGUAGGGGGCGAGCGUUGUCCGGAUUUAUUGGGCGUAAAGAGCUCGUAGGCGGUUCGAUAAGUCGGAUGUGAAAUCUCCACGCUCAACGUGGAGAGGCCAUUCGAUACUGUCGUGACUCGAGUCCGGUAGGGGAGUGUGGAAUUCCCGGUGUAGCGGUGAAAUGCGCAGAGAUCGGGAGGAACACCCGUAGCGAAGGCGGCACUCUGGGCCGGUACUGACGCUGAGGAGCGAAAGCGUGGGGAGCAAAC
rnacentral:rRNA from 1 species